UACGUAGGGUGCAAGCGUUGUCCGGAAUUAUUGGGCGUAAAGAGCUCGUAGGCGGUCUGUUGCGUCGGCUGUGAAAACCCGGGGCUCAACCCCGGGCCUGCAGCCGAUACGGGCAGACUAGAGUUCGGCAGGGGAGACUGGAAUUCCUGGUGUAGCGGUGGAAUGCGCAGAUAUCAGGAGGAACACCGGUAGCGAAGGCGGGUCUCUGGGCAGUAACUGACGCUGAGGAGCGAAAGCGUGGGGAGCGAACAGG
rnacentral:rRNA from 1 species